GAGUUUGAUCGUGGCUCAGGAUGAACGCUGGCGGCGUGCUUAACACAUGCAAGUCGAACGAGGAAUUUUAAAUGAGACUUCGGUGGAUUUUAAAAUUCUUAGUGGCGGACGGGUGAGUAACGCGUGGGCAACCUGCCCUGUACAGGGGGGACAACAGCUGGAAACGGCUGCUAAUACCGCAUAAGACCACGGAGCCGCAUGGCUCAGUGGGAAAAACUCCGGUGGUACAGGAUGGGCCCGCGUUGGAUUAGGUAGUUGGUGAGGUAACGGCCCACCAAGCCGACGAUCCAUAGCCGACCUGAGAGGGUGACCGGCCACGUUGGGACUGAGACACGGCCCAAACUCCUACGGGAGGCAGCAGUGGGGAAUCUUCCGCAAUGGGCGAAAGCCUGACGGAGCAACGCCGCGUGAGUGAAGAAUUAUUUCGGUAUGUAAAGCUCUAUCAGCAGGGAAGAAAAUGACGGUACCUGACUAAGAAGCCCCGGCUAACUACGUGACAGCCGCCGCGGUAAC
rnacentral:rRNA from 1 species